UGGCGGCACUAGCGCGGUGGUCCCACCUGACCCCAUGCCGAACUCAGAAGUGAAACGCCGUAGCGCCGAUGGUAGUGUGGGGUCUCCCCAUGUGAGAGUAGGGAACCGCCAGGCA
rnacentral:rRNA from 1 species